rnacentral:tRNA from 3 species
GCGAGAGUGGCGGAACUGGGAGACGCACCAGACUUAGGAUCUGGCACCGAAAGGUAUGGGGGUUCGAGCCCCCCCUCUCGCACCA